UUGAACUAUGGGUUAGUAAGCCCUAUUUGAGACUUGUGAAUUUACGAACUCUUGUGCUAUAAGCACCUAUAAAUUGAGUAAUUUGAGAUGAUUGAGAAAUGAAUUGACCUAAUGGUCCGAGAGCUUUGAAAUUCACUUCACUAUAGGAGAUUAUCGAUUUGAUUAUUGGGUUCGUGGUGAACCAUGAGAUUAUUCUAAAAUGGAUUUUUAUGAGAUGAGCGCAAAUAAUCUAAAGGGAGUAGUAUUUAGCACCGAGCGGGUAAGUCACUACGGUUUCUUACCCCAAAACUACGUGCCACAGUAGGUUGGUCCUGAGGCCGAGUUUAUGAUGAUUAUGAUUGGACCUGAGGCCAAGUUUCAUUUAGUGAUUACUAUACCUAGGUUAUACUCCUUAGCAAGAGUGUGACGCUCCUCCCCAACGUGGGGUCACCUCCUUAGGAGGACAAAACGUUGGACUCCAUGUAGCUCGUAUGGUUUAUGUCGGUUAUGAGAACCUCUCUUUCCCUUUAAAAACUUCAAGAUCAGAUACUUAUUUUCCCUUCUUAUGAGCUAUUUUCCUAAAUGGUAGAAUUGCAAAGUUGUUCCCUAAUUAAGGUAUUUCCUUGAUAUGAGUUAUUUCCCUAAUGAAAGUGUCUUCCCUUGAAAUAGUACUUUUCAUAUAAGCUUUGAGAUAAGUUAUUUCCUUGAACUAGAAAACUUUUUCAUUUGGAUGUUUGAUCCUCCACUUCAUCAACUCUUUGAUCUUUCAUCACUCUCAAAGAUGUUUUAUGCCCGUUUUCCAAAAACCAAACAUUAAAAUGAAAAAAGUUAUGGAAAGAAUACUUUCUUUAACUUGCGGAAGAAUUGCACAAAGCAGAAUUCUGUUGAAGCAGGUUGUUAAAGCUGUUCCAACCAUGUCAUAACUAACCUCUAGCUCAUCACUAACUAACCAACUAACCUACUAGUAGUAUUAGCUCACUUACUAACUGCCUAUAUAUACACAUGUAUCAUGUACUAUUGAAUCACAACUUGAAUAUAAAGAAUUUCUGUUUUGGCUAAUGCUCUAUAAUCAUCUCUGUUCUCUCUUCUCCUCUCUUCUCUUUUACUUUCUUGCUUUCUUGUUUAGUUGUUCAUGGUGAUUACCAUUAAGAUCACUUAAUUAUUCAUGAUAUCAGAGCUUACACUAAAUUGAUCAGUACGUGAGAAUCGAUCCUAAUUCUCAAGUGAAAACUACAUUUGUUCUUGAAAUCAAGAACAACAGAAACUGAGAGUUCCUUCUUCUGCAAAUCCUUUGUAAUCAAUUGCCAUGGCGACCGGUGUUGAUGGAAUUGGUACUUCAAUUGUACCUCCAACGAAUAAUGCAUAUUCUAGUACUUCAUUUCAGUUUACAACUACUACUCUAGUUAUCAAUCACCCUCUGUAUCUCUCAAGUCUCAAUUACAGAAAUCUCAGGUACAUCGCUUGCUUCAUUUCAGUUACAAGGAAGUGAAAAUUAUGUAGUAUGGAGUAAAGAAGUUAGGAUUGCAUUAUUAGUUCGGAAUAAGUUUGGAAUGGUUGAUGGUUCUUGGAAGAAAGAAAUCUUCUCUACAGACUUAGCUAACCAAUGGGAAAGGGUUAAUAUAAUAGUACUGUCACGGCUGAUGAAUUCUGUGUCUAGUAACCUUCUUGGAGGGGUAGUACAUGCCGCGAAGGCUUCUGAUGUGUGGAUGGAUCUUAAAGAAAGAUUUGAUAAAAUAGAUGGAUCAAGAACGUACAAUUUGCAUCAAGAAAUUGCAACUGUGUCCCAAGGUGUUUAAUCUGUUUCUGUUUAUUUCACUAAGUUGAAAAACUUAUGGGAUGAGUUUGAGUCCCAUCACCUGUUUGUAACUAUGAAAAAUCAAGAGAUUUUUUAGCUUAUCUUCAAAGACAAAAGUUGUAUCAGUUUCUAAUGGGCUUGAAUGAUUCAUACUCACAAGCAAAAAGCCAGAUUUUUUAAUGACACCACUACCUACUGUUAACAUGGCCUACUCCAUGAUCAUAAGUGAUGAGACAUAGAAAUUUGUGGCUCAGUCAGUCCAGGGAACAGGUCUUCUUGGUGCUAUACCUACUACAAUUGAUGUUGUUGCAAUGUACUCUAAAACUGGAUAUCAAGGUGGGUAUCAGAAGGAAAAAAAGAACUAUGUUUCAACCUAUAACCUAAAUGCUAUUUGUGAUCAUUGAAGGAUGAAAGGUCACACUAUAAGAUGGAUUGCUACAAAUUAGUUGGAUAUCACCCAGGUAAUCCAAAACAUGGAGAUCAAAGAGUCAACAAUGACUUUAGAAGUGGCUUUGAUAACAAAAGUAAGCAGAGAAAGAUUGCUUCUAGUGCUCAUAAUGUUGUGGUUGAAUAUUGGCAGCUGUAGCCUCAACAGACUCAAUCACAUGGUGCUUAUAAGAACUUACAAAGUUUAUAGAGGAUGGGAUGACUACACCAAGGUUUACACCUGACAGUAUGAUCAAAUUUGUAAAAUGCUGGAACAACAGAAUCAAGUUUCAGCAUCUAUACCCUCAACUACUGCAACAAACAUGACAGGAUCUUUGGAGUGGGAAGGUAAAGGAGAUUGGUAGAGAAAAGCAUGGAUUAUACUUUCCACUAAGACAAAAGCUACCAGGACAUAGCAGGGUAGCUGACUGUGAGCUCAAUGCUGAAAUAGCUGAUAAAACAAAUCUUCAACUAUGGCAUAAGAGGCUUGGACAUGUUCCAUAUAGAACAUGGUGUAAAAUGUUUCCUAAUAAAAGUGGUUGUCCAAAUAGUUAUCAAUAAAUGUAGUGUUUGUCCUCUAGAUAAGCAAAUCAGAUUGGCUUUUCCAAUUAGUACUACCACUAGUCUUAAACCAUUUGAUCCUCUUCAUAUGGAUUUGUGGGGACCAUACAAAGUUUCUACUUGUGAUGGACACAAUCUAUUCCUGACUGUAGUUGAUGGCUGCACUAGAAUGACAUGGAUAUUCUUUCUUAAAUUGAAAUUUGAUUUGGUAGUUAUUCUGCAGCAUUUCUUAUCUUAUGUUCAUACUCAGUUUAAUACAUGUGUAAAAGUCAUGAGGACAGAUAAUGGAACUGAGUUUGUUAACAACUCAUGCACUGAUUUUUUUGCAAACUUAGGGAUAAAGCAUCAAACCUCCUACUCUUAUACACCCCAACAAAAUGGUGUGGCUGAAAGAAAGCACAAAAAAUUGUCGGAAGAAUCAAAAGCUCUAAUGUUUCAAGCUAAUAUACCUUUAAAUUUUUGGGGAUGUUGUGUACAAGCAGCAACAUACUUAAUUAAUAGGCUUUCAUCUGCCGUGUUAGUUUAUAUGACACCUUAUGAGAGGAUGUAUAGUAUAAAACCUUCCUUAGAUCAUCUAAGGUAUUAGGAUGUCUAUGUUAUGCUAAAACUAUUAAUGAGUCAGACAAACUAAUGCCUAGAUCUAGAAAAAUAGUUUAUAUGGGAUAUUCAGAAACAAAGAAAGGCUACAUUCUCUGUUGAUUAAUUGCCUCAGUUACUGUAGUAAAAGUUGAAGUAGUUGCUAGACAUUAUCCAAUUUUUUUAGUCAUGUUGGACAUUAUCUAGUUUCUUUAAGCCAUGUUCUCUUAACUUAGUUUAGUGACUGAUUUUUAGAUAUUAGUGGUUUAGUUGUUUUGGAUAUUGCUGAUCAUGGAAUCAUGUACAAAGUAGUAGCUUAAUUAUAGGCUUUAGUUAUUGCAUUUUUUUAGUAUUUAAGCAACACUUUAGAUUAAUGAAAAAUCAACCUUUGUGCAGUAAAUUAUUUGUUCUCUUCUUUCUUUCUUUGUUUGUUUUCACUUCAAAGAGUUGAAGUUAACCUUACAAAUCCAACAAAUUGGUAUCAGAGCUCUCUUAUUGAAGGACCUGCAUUUACGGUAAACAUAUUUUUCUCUUCUUGUUUUUUUUCCUAUGGAUUCAGAGACUCCUUUCACUGCACUAGUACCACGUGUCUUCAAAGGUGAAGGCUAUCAUAUCUUGGUAGCAAUAAUGGAGGCAUAUAUGGAGGCAAACAAUUUGUGGGAAGCUGUUAAGGAGGACUACGAAGUUCCUCCCUUGCCUGAAAAUCCAACCAUGGCGCAGAUGAGGAAUCACAAGGAAAAGAAAACAAGAAAAAUCAAAAGCUAGAGCAAUGUUAUUCACUAUAGUCUCAUCUGAAAUCUUUGUCAGGAUUAUGACUUGAAAUCAGCUUUUGAGGUUUGGAAUUUCCUAAAGAAAGAAUAUGAAGGAUAUGAACGGAUCAAAGGUAUGCGUACUCUUAACCUGAUUCAAGAAUUUGAACUUUAGAAGAUCCUUAUAUGGCGCUUAGACUUAGCUCAUCAAACAAGUGCGCCAAAAGUGAGUCAGAGACAAUCAAAGAGUAUUCUAAUAGAUUACUCAACAUUGCCAAUAAUGUAAGAUUACUUGGCUCUAAAUUUCCUGAUUCUAGAUUGGUUCAAAAAUUUUUAGUAACAGUCCUCGAAUGGUUUGAAACUACUAUUUCCGCAUGGGAAAAUUCUAAGGAUUUGUCACAGAUUAGUUUGGCAGAACUAUUAAAUGCUUUGUAGGCACAAGAACAAAGAAGACUUAUGAGGUCCAAAGGAUCUGUUGAGGGUGCACUACCUGCAAAAGUUCAAUCAAACCAAGGAGACCAAGGAAA